UACGAAGGGGGCUAGCGUUGCUCGGAAUUACUGGGCGUAAAGGGCGCGUAGGCGGAUAGUUUAGUCAGAGGUGAAAGCCCAGGGCUCAACCUUGGAAUUGCCUUUGAUACUGGCUAUCUUGAGUACGGGAGAGGUGUGUGGAACUCCGAGUGUAGAGGUGAAAUUCGUAGAUAUUCGGAAGAACACCAGUGGCGAAGGCGACACACUGGCCCGUUACUGACGCUGAGGCGCGAAAGCGUGGGGAGCAAACAGG
rnacentral:rRNA from 1 species